AUGGCGACGACGGUGGUGCCGCUCGCCGCGGCCAUGGCCGCCGCUCCAAGGUCUCUCCUCCUGGGCGCUCCAGACCCCUUCCCGUUCCUCGGGAUCCGCCCGCUCCUCUGCCGCUCUCCGCGCGGCGUCGCCUGCGCCCUUCGCCGACCUUCCAAGUACAAGAAUAAAAUUAAGAACGAGGUGGUGGUAGCAGAGGAUGACAUUGAUGGCAGUGACGAGGAUGACGACGACGACGAGGGUGGGUUGGAAGCGCUUUUCAAGCAGCUGGAAGAAGAUCUGAAGAACGACGAUUUGUCUGUCGAGGAUGAUGAUGAUGAUGAUGAAAUAUCAGAGGAAGACAUGGCCAGGUUUGAACAGGUAUUGGCAGAAGCCAUUGGAGAUGUCGAUGUUGCUGAUGAAUCUGCAGUAGAUUUGGUGUCAGGCUCCGAAGUUGUUGGUAAUGAUGAGGCAGCAGAUCCAGUCGAACGGCCAGAGCUUAAAAGCUGGCAGCUCCGGAGAUUGGCUCGUGCAAUGCAAAUUGGUCGGCGUAAAACUAGUAUAAAGAAUCUUGCAGGGGAGCUUGGCCUGGAUAGGGGUUUGGUCAUUGAAUUGCUCCGCAAUCCGCCUCCAGAACUUCUACUUAUGUCUGAUUCUUUGCCUGAUGAAGCCCCCUCUAAACCUGAAACUAAGGAAAUAGAGCCCUCUCCAGUAGCUGAUGAGGUUGUAGUUGAUGAGAUUGAUGCCACUGAAGCCAAUCCACAGAUGGACCUUCCGGUUCAUGUCAUGAGCACAGAAUGGUCUGCGCAGAAAAGGCUGAAAAAGGCGCAACUGGAAACACUGGAAAAGGUUUACUUCAAAUCCAAACGCCCCACUAAUACUAUGAUCAGUAGCAUAGUUCAAGUUACAAGCCUUCCACGAAAGACCAUUAUUAAGUGGUUUGAGGAUAGAAGGGAGCAAGAUGGUGUACCAGACCGUCGUGCCGCAUACAUGAGAUCCCUAUCUGAGACAAUGGCUAGUUGA
rnacentral:rRNA from 1 species